UCACAGUGUUGAUGCUGGUUACCAGGGGU
rnacentral:piRNA from 1 species